GACGUAGGGGGCCAGCGUUGCUCGGAAUUACUGGGCGUAAAGGGUCCGUAGGCGGUGCGGUAAGUCGGGAGUGAAAUCUCUGGGCUUAACUCAGAGGCUGCUUCCGAAACUACCGUGCUAGAGUGCGAGAGAGGCAAGUGGAAUUGCGGGUGUAGCGGUGAAAUGCGUAGAUAUCCGCAGGAACAUCCGAGGCGAAAGCGGCUGCUG
rnacentral:rRNA from 1 species